UGGGGAAUUUUGGACAAUGGGCGAAAGCCUGAUCCAGCAAUGCCGCGUGUGUGAAGAAGGCCUUCGGGUUGUAAAGCACUUUUGUCCGGAAAGAAAUCCUUGGCUCUAAUACAGUCGGGGGAUGACGGUACCGGAAGAAUAAGCACCGGCUAACUACGUGCCAGCAGCCGCGGUAAUACGUAGGGUGCAAGCGUUAAUCGGAAUUACUGGGCGUAAAGCGUGCGCAGGCGGUUUGCUAAGACCGAUGUGAAAUCCCCGGGCUCAACCUGGGAACUGCAUUGGUGACUGGUAGGCUAGAGUAUGGCAGAGGGGGGUAGAAUUCCACGUGUAGCAGUGAAAUGCGUAGAGAUGUGGAGGAAUACCGAUGGCGAAGGCAGCCCCCUGGGCCAAUACUGACGCUCAUGCACGAAAGCGUGGGGGAGCAAAACAGGAUUAGAUACCCUGGUAGUCCACGCCCUAAACGAUGUCAACUAGUUGUUGGGGAUUCAUUUCCUUAGUAACGUAGCUAACGCGUGAAGUUGACCGCCUGGGGAGUACGGUCGCAAGAUUAAAACUCAAAGGAAUUGACGGGGUCAUAGCUGUUUCCU
rnacentral:rRNA from 1 species